AUGAAGGCACUCUCUAUGGAUUAUGAGAAAAUAGAUGUUUGCCCGAAGAAAUGCCUUUUGUUUAGGCAUGAGUAUGCGGAUGACAAGUACUGUAGGCAGUGCGGUUCAUCUCGGUACAUUGAGGUGGUCGGUGAGGAUGGUGAGAAAAAGCAGCUAACCAUCCCUGUUAAGGUUCUUCGAUAUCUUGAUUUUACAAAAAGACUACAACGCCUUUUCAUCACGAAGGAGUCUGCCAAAAUGAUGAAGUGGCACAAGGAAGGUAUAAGGUACAAUCCAAAAAAAAUCAUACAUCCAUCGGAAGGGGAAGCAUGGAAGUUGUUUGAUGAAGAAUACCCCGAGGAAGCAGCCGAGGCUGGGAAUGUCAGAAUAGCCAUAUCAGGUGAUGGGUUGAAUCCAUAUGGUAUGUCGUCCAAUCCAUACAGCUGCUGGCCCAUGUUUGUAAUUCCGCUCAAUCUUCCUCCCGGUGCCCUAAUGCAACACAAGACCAUGUUCUUGUCGCUCAUCAUUCCGGGGCCUAAUUAUCCGGGGAAGCAAUUGGGUGUGUUUAUGCAGCUGCUGGUGGAUGCUUUGCACCAUUCUUGGUACUUUCCAACGUUGACAUACGACCGGGAUUUGCAGAGAAAUUUCUUGAUGAAAGUUUGGUUGCACUGGCCUGCGGCCUGCCCUGGCCGGCCCUCCUCUUCUCCCUUAGGGCCCAUGUAG
rnacentral:rRNA from 1 species